rnacentral:rRNA from 1 species
AUGGUGAGUGGCGGCACGCGUGGGACGACAUCUAUGGCGAUGGAUUCAAAGGGGAAACAGGGGGAAUUGAAAGAGGUCCUUACUACGAGCACGUGGCGUGGUCAGGGAGGCCGGAGGCGGGCCGGAGCUCGUGGGACGGCGACGAGAAGGCGACGGUGUCCGACGGGGAGAAGGCUCAAUCCCAAAGCUUGA